rnacentral:rRNA from 1 species
UACGUAGGCAGCGAGCGUUGUUCGGAAUUACUGGGCGUAAAGAGUGUGUAGGCGGUGUUCCAAGUCUGGUGUGAAAUCUCCCGGCUUAACUGGGAGGGUGCGCCGGAAACUGGAAUGCUCGAGGGUGGGAGAGGUAAGCGGAAUUCCUGGUGUAGCGGUGAAAUGCGUAGAUAUCAGGAGGAACACCGGUGGCGAAGGCGGUUCUCUGGGCAUUACCUGACGCUGAGGAGCGAAAGUGUGGGGAGCGAACAGG